UUGGGUGAAAUCUAUGUGGAUACCGCACAUUAAAAAUGAAUCUCACAUAAAGUGGUGAGAUCCACAUGAGUUUCAUCCAA
rnacentral:pre_miRNA from 1 species